rnacentral:rRNA from 1 species
CCUACGGGAGGCAGCAGUGAGGAAUAUUGGUCAAUGGGCGCGAGCCUGAACCAGCCAAGUCGCGUGAAGGAAGAAGGAUCUAUGGGUUGUAAACUUCUUUUAUAGGGGAAUAAAGGGAGCCACGUGUGGAUAUUUGCAUGUACCCUAUGAAUAAGCAUCGGCUAACUCCGUGCCAGCAGCCGCGGUAAUACGGAGGAUGCGAGCGUUAUCCGGAUUUAUUGGGUUUAAAGGGUGCGUAGGUUGUUUGUUAAGUCAGCGGUGAAAGUUUGGGGCUCAACCGUAAAAUUGCAGUUGAUACUGGAAGCCUUGAGUGUGUUUGAGGUAGGCGGAAUGCGUGGUGUAGCGGUGAAAUGCAUAGAUAUCACGCAGAACUCCGAUUGCGAAGGCAGCUUACUAAGCCAUCACUGACACUGAUGCACGAAAGCGUGGGGAUCAAACAGGAUUAGAUACCCUGGUAGUC